rnacentral:rRNA from 1 species
AAGAUAGUGGCGGACGGGUGAGUAACACGUGGGUAACCUGCCCAUAAGAGGGGGGAUAACAUCCGGAAACGGGUGCGUAAUACCGCUAUAGUUUUCUUGAUCGCAUGGUCGAGAAAGGAAAGACGGCCUUUGUGCUGUCGCUUAUGGAUGGACCCGCGGCGUAUUAGUUAGUUGGUGAGGUAACGGCUCACCAAGACGAUGGAUACGUAGCCGACCUGUGAGGGUGAUCGGCCACAUUGGGACUGAGACACGGCCCAAACUCCUACGGGAGGCAGCAGUAGGGAAUCUUCCGCAAUGGACGAAAGUCUGACGGAGCAACGGCCGCGUGAGUGAAAGAAGGUUUUCGGAUCGUAAAACUCUGUUGUCAGAGAAGAACAAGUCGGAGAGUAACUGCUCCGGCCUUGACGGUAUCUGACCAGAAAGCCACGGCUAACUACGUGCCAGCCGCCGC